rnacentral:rRNA from 1 species
AUGCUGGCACCUGGGGUCAACGCGCUGAGGCUGCCAGGCAGGGCCCGCAAGGAGAAGAGGGCCCGCCUGGCCUCUGUCUUCUUCUUCCUCGCCCUGCUCCCGCACGGGACAGAGGAGGCAGGGGAGGGCGCGUCACCGGUGACGGGCUCCGGCGCCACAGGCCACCUCCGGCGGCGCACCGGCCACCGGGAUGGUCAGGGAGACGAGACGCAUCCAUCCAGUGGCCACACGCACGCCGGAGAGGUGUGGAACGAUGACGCGCCAUGGAUGCAGAGAACCACGGCGGCAGACUACUUCGGUGGCGCGCGGCCACGCUGGCUCCGGGGAGAAAUGGAGAAGACGGGGAGGUUCGGUAUGAUCUGGAGGAUCUACUUGUGGUGGAAAGGGGAGGGGAGGAGUGCUGCCAUGCUCAAAUUUGAGCCGAGCAGAGCGGCGGCCAUGGCGGCGAUGGGGGUCGAGGAGAUCUGCUCGAGCUCGGGGAAAAGGUCAGGGAGGCUUGCUGGAGUGGGGUGA